ACGGGACACUGCAAACAGGUUUUUGGGGAACGUAAUUAGCAUAAUACAAACAACAUUAAACCAAACCCAUAACACAAUGCUAUCAAUACUGGACCCUCAAGGCGACUCCUUGGAAAUCCCGCUGUUGCCCUGAGUUAUGGACAUCCCACAGCGUUUGUUCUGCAGGGUAGUAAAAAGGCAGAGACUGCUGGCAGGAGCUGCUAUGGCACCGUGAGCUGCAGCUGAUCUCCGGGAACUCUGCUGCCUGGUCCAGCCAGUUGUACAAUCGCUUCAAGACUGCAGCAUGGCAAUCACAUGAACCGUCGCAGCGGAUCAAGUUUAAGACUCUUCUGCUACAUGAGCAAAGGACCCCCUCUUUGAUGGACCCAGAACUAGCCUCUCCCACAAAGACCCUCCUCAGCAAAAAAAAAAAAAAAAAAAAAAAAAAAGCUGUAAUGCCUCUGGCAUGCAUUUUUAUAUCCUUUCAGAGUUAGCAAUGCUAGUUUCCUACUCAUCCCAGCUCAGCUCCCCUUGCAGAUUAUCGUAGUCAUUCCUGCCCCCGUAAGCGGCCACACCCCAUCUUUUUCUGUUGGCAUUUUGGCUAUAUUUACAGAGAGAGAC
rnacentral:lncRNA from 1 species